UUACCUCCUGUCCAUUCCUGUGAUGCGACAGUGAUGCCCGUAAAGAUGGAGGAUAAGCAAUAGGCUUUUAAUGAUUCUUAUGCGUCGAAAAUCGAGCCAAGUAAUGCGGGUUACUUGUAAUAAGAAAUCACCUAUGUGAGAGAGAAGUGGGGCCGCUUCUAAGGGAAUUGUGUGGGACGCAAUUCUUGUGAACUCUCACAGAACCAGGCGUAUGUUCAUGGCCAAAACGAACAUAAUAAUGAGA
rnacentral:lncRNA from 1 species